rnacentral:rRNA from 1 species
ACAUGCAAGUCGAGGGGCAUCAUGUCGGUUGCUUGCAACCGAUGAUGGCGACCGGCGCACGGGUGAGUAACGCGUAUCCAACCUUCCGCACACUAAGGGAUAACCCGUUGAAAGACGGCCUAAUACCUUAUGUCCUCCACGGCAGACAUCUAAUGUGGAGUAAAGAUCAUCGGUGUGUGAUGGGGAUGCGUCUGAUUAGGCAGUUGGCGGGGUAACGGCCCACCAAACCGACGAUCAGUACGGGUUCUGAGAGGAAGGUCCCCCACAUUGGAACUGAGACACGGUCCAAACUCCUACGGGAGGCAGCAGUGAGGAAUAUUGGUCAAUGGGCGAGAGCCUGAACCAGACAAGUAGCGUGCAGGACGACGGCCCUAUGGGUUGUAAACUGCUUUUAUGCGGGGAUAAAACGCGGGACGUGUCCCGCCUUGCAGGUACCGCAUGAAUAAGGACCGGCUAAUUCCGUGCCAGCAGCCGCGGUAAUACGGAAGGUCCGGGCGUGAUCCGGAUUUAUUGGGUUUACAGGGAGCGUAGGCCGCUUUGUACGCGUGUUGUGAAAUUUGCCGGCUCAACCGGUAACUUGCAGCGCGAACUGCAGAGCUUGAGUGUGCGCAACGUUGGCGGAAUUCGUCGUGUAGCGGUGAAAUGCUUAGAUAUGACGAAGAACUCCGAUUGCGAAGGCAGCUGACGGGAGCACUACUGACGCUGAAGCUCGAAAGUGCGGGUACCGAACAGGAUUAGAUACCCUGGUAGUCCGCACGGUAAACGAUGGAUGCCCGCUGUUUGCACAUAGUUGCAAGCGGCCAAGCGAAAGCGUUAAGCAUCCCACCUGGGGAGUACGCCGGCAACGGUGAAACUCAAAGGAAUUGACGGGGGCCCGCACAAGCGGAGGAACAUGUGGUUUAAUUCGAUGAUACGCGAGGAACCUUACCCGGGCUUGAAUUGCAGGAGAACGAUCCAGAGAUGGUGAGGUCCUUCGGGACUCCUGUGAAGGUGCUGCAUGGUUGUCGUCAGCUCGUGCCGUGAGGUGUCGGCUUAAGUGCCAUAACGAGCGCAACCCCUUUCCUCAGUUGCCAUCAGUUCGAGCUGGGCACUCUGGGGACACUGCCACCGCAAGGUGUGAGGAAGGUGGGGAUGACGUCAAAUCAGCACGGCCCUUACGUCCGGGGCUACACACGUGUUACAAUGGGGGGUACAGAGAGCCGGUGGCGCGCAAGCUCCAUCCAAUCCUUAAAGCCCUCCUCAGUUCGGACUGGGGUCUGCAACCCGACCCCACGAAGCUGGAUUCGCUAGUAAUCGCGCAUCAGCCUGGCGCGGUGAUACGUUCCCGGCCUUGUACACACCGCCCGUCAAGCCA